UUGUAGAGGAUACUUUUGAUGCGGUGCCUUCCGAGUUCCCGGGAACGGGACGCCCUCCAGGGUGAGAGCCCCGUCUGGUUGGAUGCCAAAUCUCUGUAAAGUUCCUUCAACGACCCCCCCAACCCCGGGAAUGCUGCUCUAAAUGGGAGGUAUAUGUCUUCUAAAGCUAAAUACCGGCCAGAGACCGAUAGCGCACAAGUAGAGUGAUCGAAAGAUGAAAAGCACUUUGAAAAGAGAGUUAAAAAGUACGUGAAAUUGUUGAAAGGGAAGCGUUUAUGACCAGACUUGGGCUUGGUUAAUCAUCUGGGGUUCUCCCCAGUGCACUUUUCCAGCUCAGGCCAGCAUCAGUUUUCCCCGGGGGAUAAAGGCGGAGGGAAUUGGCUCUCUUUGGGUUGUGUUAUAGCCCACCGUGUAAUCCCCUCCCGCUUCUCCUUCGCGCUCGCAAGGAUGCAGCGAAUUCCCCAUUCGGAGAUU
rnacentral:rRNA from 1 species